UUUCAUAUUCUGAAGGAUAAAAUCGGAAGAUGUAGAGUAUUCAGAGAGAAAAGAAAGGAACACUUGAGAUGAGCAUUUAGGAAGAUUGGAAGCUGACUGGGAGUACAUGGAUACUCCUUGCGGAGCUCUCCCAUUAAAGAACUAAUCAGAAGGAAAUGAGGUUUGAUUUUUGUUUGCAUAUAAUUUAAAGCAAUUGGCAUUCAACUAAAGCGUGACUGUUUUGCACCCAACUAACCUGUGACCCUAAAGGCAGUGAAAGUUUUCAGAUAUUAAACUUUUCCCUUUUUCUAACUCCUCUAAUUUGCGUAGGACUAGUUAGUUUUUGGAUUCACUUGCUGACGAUGUCUUGUAUGUUUUCUUUACCUUGGUGGACUAAGUUGACUCUUUCCUUGUUCAUCCUCAUAUGUAGUUCUGAAGGGAUUUAUCUUACCAAGGGAUAUGAGUGACCAGUAAAUGCUUGUUGAAUGAUAAAUGAUUAUUCAUUUAUUAACAA
rnacentral:lncRNA from 1 species